GGAGAUUCUCGGGUGACAGCCAGGAAUCAGGCUCCCUCCUCUCUGUUUCCGGGUGGAUCACCCAAGAAUUGCA
rfam:Myotis davidii contig320394, whole genome shotgun sequence.